rnacentral:rRNA from 1 species
AACGAACGCUGGCGGCAGGCCUAACACAUGCAAGUCGAACGCCCUAGCAAUAGGGAGUGGCAGACGGGUGAGUAACGCGUGGGAACGUACCCUUCGGUUCGGAAUAAGCCGGGGAAACCUGGUCUAAUACCGGAUACGUGCGAGAGCAGAAAGAUUUAUCGCCGAAGGAUCGGCCCGCGUCCGAUUAGCUAGUUGGUGAGGUAACGGCUCACCAAGGCGACGACCGGUAGCUGGUCUGAGAGGAUGAUCAGCCACACUGGGACUGAGACACGGCACAGACUCCUACGGGAGGCAGCAGUGGGGAAUAUUGGACAAUGGGCGAAAGCCUGAUCCAGCCAUGCCGCGUGAGUGAUGAAGGCCCUAGGGUUGUAAAGCUCUUUCGCCAGGGACGAUAAUGACGGUACCUGGAUAAGAAGCCCCGGCUAACUUCGUGCCAGCCGCCGCCGUAAUAC